rnacentral:rRNA from 1 species
UGCAGUCGAGCGGAAACGACACUAACAAUCCUUCGGGUGCGUUAAUGGGCGUCGAGCGGCGGACGGGUGAGUAAUGCCUAGGAAAUUGCCUUGAUGUGGGGGAUAACCAUUGGAAACGAUGGCUAAUACCGCAUAAUGCCUACGGGCCAAAGAGGGGGAUCUUCGGACCUCUCGCGUCAAGAUAUGCCUAGGUGGGAUUAGCUAGUUGGUGAGGUAAUGGCUCACCAAGGCGACGAUCCCUAGCUGGUCUGAGAGGAUGAUCAGCCACACUGGAACUGAGACACGGUCCAGACUCCUACGGGAGGCAGCAGUGGGGAAUAUUGCACAAUGGGCGAAAGCCUGAUGCAGCCAUGCCGCGUGUAUGAAGAAGGCCUUCGGGUUGUAAAGUACUUUCAGUUGUGAGGAAGGGGGUAGCGUUAAUAGCGCUAUCUCUUGACGUUAGCAACAGAAGAAGCACCGGCUAACUCCGUGCCAGCAGCCGCGGUAAUACGGAGGGUGCGAGCGUUAAUCGGAAUUACUGGGCGUAAAGCGCAUGCGGGUGGUUCAUUAAGUCAGAUGUGAAAGCCCGGGGCUCAACCUCGGAACUGCAUUUGAAACUGGUGAACUAGAGUACUGUAGAGGGGGGUAGAAUUUCAGGUGUAGCGG